GAAUGAAAAUUGUAUUUAUUAUUCAUGUAAAGAAAUCCACAGAUAUUUCCAAGACAGUUUGCUAUCCAUCCUGAUGAGUGCAACAGCUCAGGCCUCAUUAGGUGAUUGAGGCUAAUUAACUGUAAACAUGAGUCAUAUUACUUUUUUCUUCCAUGCAGUUUAAUUCUAAACAUCCCUGUCUGACCCAGACAGCCCCGUUACUCAUAUAUUUGACACUAAAGGCAUUAUAAGCAAGAAGAUGUAAACAGGAUUGAACGUCCCUGUGCCGUUGGAGAGAUCCUGAUUUUUUUGGAAGCGACGGCGCGCACGUGACGGAGCGGAGCUGCCGCGCUCACGAGCCGUUCGUUAAACCCAAGGACGACGGAGAACCAAACCGAGCCGGCUGAGACUCAUCACGGGGAAGAAACAGAGGUUUUCUCGUCAGAAAUAUUCAAGAGGAGACACGGAGACGAUGGACGGUUAUGGGCUUUCGGAUGACGAGCUUUUCUCCUCCUGUCUGCUCAACUUCACCUGCGAGGAUUCAUCUGAGCAGACAGCAAUGUGUGACUGACCAACCCCACAGGAGAACAGCACGGACCCACUGCACUGGGACGAAGGAAGAGAGCACUCACGGCACCGGAGCACCCACCUGGACCUUUCUCUUAAGUCACAUUCACUUAUCGUUGUGGUUGUUCCCUGGUGUGCGUCCUGUUCUUGUGUCUCGUCAAGCCCCGUUCUCCGUUUGGAUUUCGUCAGUUCUUCGUGUCGUUUGGAUUUCGUCAGUUCCUCGUGUCGUCUGGAUGUUCAACGGUUCCUGGGGUUCUCUUCACGCUCUUCACCGCACCACCACCGGAUCGCCAUCUCGUCCCUGCUUCACCACCACCUGAGUGUUUGUCCCCAGCCUGUGUCUUUACUCUGACCCUCAUUAUUAUUAAACUGGUUUACUUGCAUCUUGCAUCCUCUCAUUAUUCAUCACAGCAAUCUCCUUCACCUCAACUUUUUCCUUUUUUUGUCUCCGGGUUUCUGUCACAGGUGAGUGCUCCUCCCCCAACAUGGAUGAAAUCCUCCACUGGCUCACUGAGGUUAGCUUCCGCCACCAACAGAUCGUUGAGCACCUCGCCACCCAUCAAGGGGAGACAGAGCAGGAGCUUGCAUCCCUUUUUGCCGCCACCACUAAGCUGCUACCCAAGCUGACCCCCCCAUGAUGAUGUGGAAGCAUACUUGGAGAUGUUUGAAACCACGGCAACCUCGGAGGGAUGGCAUACAGACGACUGGGCAGGAGUGCUGGCUUCCUUGCUGACGGGUGAAGCCCAGCGUGCAUACUUCUCUCUAACCGCCGCCUCCGCUGAUCAGUAUACGGUGGUCAAGAUGGAAAUUCUAGCUCGCCUGGGGUUAUCUGUGCUGCUCAUUACUUCCACGAGUGGGAAUAUAAGCCCCGUCUGCCGGCCCGUGCCCAGACCACAGAACUCACACGACUCGCGCAGUACUGGCUGCUGGAGGGGGCUCCAUCAGCUAGUCAGGUCGCAGAACAUGUCGUGAUAGACUGACUUCUCCAAGCCCUUCCCUGAUCUCACCGGGAGGCAGUUGGGAUGAGGAACCCAACCACCAUCUCGGAGCUCGUGGAGACUAUCGAGCUGGUGGAUGUGACCCAACAUCGGGAUGCUGGGGAGCGUGCGCCACCGUUUCCCCGGAGGGUGGUCCAGGAGCGACGUGCGCUGGAGGGUACCCAGUGACCAGUAAGCAGGCCGGUGGCUCACUCUCUGCAGGAUAAGCCCAUGCCAACGGAGGCCCCCGCAUUUCCCAUACGGACCUGGCUGGCAGGCUGUAUUGUGCACCGUGACCUGUCGGUUGGAACUCCAGAAGUGGAUGUGAAAAUAAAUGGGAAACCAUUCCGGGCCAUCCUUGACUCCGGCAGUGUGGUCACUUUGGUACAGUCUCACAUUCUCGCCCCACAAAUGGAGUAUAAAACCUUCCUCCCCAUAACCUGUGUCCACAGAGAUACACGACAAGUUCCAGCUCGCAGAGUGACCGUUUCUGCCUCUCCCGGCGCCUGGCCUGUGGAAGUUGGUGUGCUGAAGGAUCUUCCCGUCCGCAUGCUGGCUGGGAGAGACAGGCCUCAACUGGCUUCACCAACUUCGAGCUCCUCUUUUGCCAGCAAACCCUACGGCCCCCUGAAUGUGGCGAAGGAGGCCUGGGAACAACAGCCGGCGGCCCAUCGCUUGGUGAUCGAGCACGUAAAGCAGAUUAGGGAAAGGAUCAACUGAGUCAUGCCAUUAGUCCGGGAACACUUAAGUAAAGUGAAGCAGGCUCAACAGCAUCACUACAACCGGGCAGCCCAACCACGGGAGUUCCAGCCUGGAGACAGGGUCAUGGUCCUAGUCCCCAAUGCUGCGUGCAAGUUCCUGGCCACCUGGCAGGGUCCCUACGUGGUGCUGGAAAGGAUUGGGCCGGUGACUUACUGUGUGUAUCAGCCAGGAAGGAGGAGAGCCGAGCAGCUCUACCACAUCAACCUUCUGAAGGUUGGGACUAGAGACCAGCUCGCAGCCCUCGCCAUCUCUGAUUGGGCCGACUGGGAAGGGCCCGUGGCCACUGGCAGUACCGGACACUUCCCUUUGGCCUCCACGGGCCACCCGCCACGUUCCAGCGGAUGAUGGACAUCCUGUUGCGGACCCAUCAGUCUUAUGCCGCUGCCUAUCUGGAUGACAUCGUAAUCCACUCAGAGGCAUGGGAAGACCACCUGGACUGGUUACGGACGGUGCUCUCAGAGCUCCGGAGGGCUGGACUCACCGCAGGAGAAGAAGGUGGAGGCGGCACGCUCCGCAUUGAGACCCGAGACCAAGACCCAG
ensembl:lncRNA